ensembl:lincRNA
GGCAGCUACUGAGCAAUCCUGCCUCUGUUUCCCUUGUUGCAAAUGAGGGUGUUGAUUGUGAUCACACCACCUACUGUUGGGGUGCUGUGGGGAAAUGAGGCAUCCCAGAUAAGCUGAGUUCCCUGGGACCUUAGAUGGGUGGAUCUGUGGGAAGCAAUGAGGUCAGCCAGGUGCAGAGACAGUGCUCAGCGGCAGUGCUCAGCCCACCCUGUCCCUUCGCAUCUUUUGUUUGGAACAUAGGGCUUUGCAACUGAAAGGUAUGAGAAAGGUCUCAGGCUGCCUUCCUUAUUAUUGAAAUGAGGACCUUAAAGCUCAGAUGGGGAAGCAGAGAUGGGCAGAGGAUAAGGAAGAGCUUCCAUUGCUCUCACAGCUAAAGCAAGGAAUGGCUGUUCUCACAGGGCUGUGAGAGGACAUCCCUGCGGGUGUUCAAGCAGAAACAGGGAACAAUGGGGGUGGGGUUUCGACUCCCAAGUCCCUUCUGAAUCCGUGGUUGAGGGACUCCAUGGCCAGGUCACCUGGAGUGUGACUCAAGAGCAUGAUCACCUUCUCUAGCCCAGGACGUGGAGGGACAGACAUGGUGGGUUCCUGGCUUACACAGAUCCUGGGAUUCCUCUCCCCAGAUUUUCUGACCUGUCAUCGGGGGAUCUCCUUUAUGACACACACAAACUUGGCUCAAGAACCCACUGAUUGGACCACAUCGAAUACCGAGAUGUGCGAGGCGGGGCAGGUGUGUCAGGAGACGCUGCUGCUGGUAGAUGUAGGACUCACAUCAACCCUGGUGGGGACAAAAGGCUGCAGCGCUGUUGGGGCUCAAAAUUCCCAGAAGACCACCAUCCACUCAGCCCCUCCUGGGGUGCUUGUGGCCUCCUAUACCCACUUCUGCUCCUCGGACCUGUGCAAUAGUGCCAGCAGCAGCAGCGUCCUGCUGAACUCCCUCCCUCCUCAAGGUAUGGGAUCCAGGGUCGUGGAGAAAUGAGGCCCAGACACACAGAGACUCUGGCCCAAGGUGGGCGGCUGCUCUGAGCACAAAGUCAUGUACCCCUACCUUCCCUCUGCUCCCCAGCUGCCCCUGUCCCAGGAGACCGGCAGUGUCCUACCUGUGUGCAGCCCCUUGGAACCUGUUCAAGUGGCUCCCCCCAAAUGACCUGCCCCAGGGGCGCCACUCAUUGUUAUGAUGGGUACAUUCAUCUCUCAGGAGGUGAGGGCUGCAAGCAGGGCCCCAAGGAUGAAGGCGCUGGUGGCCUGGACUCCUGGGUCUGAAGGAGGAGGAGCUGGGGGCCUGGACUCCCGGUCCGAGGGAGGAGGGGCUGGGGGCCUGGACUCCCGGUCCGAGGGAGGAGGGGCUGGGGGCCUGGUCUCCCGGUCCGAGGGUGGAGGGGCUGGGGGCCAGGGCUCCUGGGUCUGAGGAGCUGAGGCUCUGGACUCCUGGGUCUGAGGGAGAAGGGACUGGGGGCCUGGACUCCUGGGUCUGAGGGAGGAGGGGCUGGGGACUUGGGCUCCUGGGUCUGAGGGAGGAGGGGCUGGGGGCCUGGACCCCUGGGUCUGAGGAGCUGGGGCUGGGGGUCAGGGCUCCUCGGUCUGAGGGAGGAGGGUCUGGGGCCUGGACUCCUGGGUUUACAACUUGGCUGGGCUGUACUCUGUGUCCUUUCUGACUUGGUCUUCUCCCUCUAGGUGGGCUGACCUCCACAAUGAGCAUUCAGGGCUGCGUGGCCCAACCUUCCAGCUUCUUGUUGAACCACACCAGACA